rnacentral:rRNA from 1 species
GACGAACGCUGGCGGCGUGCCUAACACAUGCAAGUCGAACGGAGCAGAUCCCUUCGGGGGUUUGCUUAGUGGCGAACGGGUGAGUAACGCGUGAGGAACCUGCCUUUCAGUGGGGGACAACAGUUGGAAACGACUGCUAAUACCGCAUAAGCCCACAGGUCGGCAUCGACCAGAGGGAAAAGGAGCAAUCCGCUUUGAGAUGGCCUCGCGUCCGAUUAGCUAGUUGGUGAGGUAACGGCCCACCAAGGCGACGAUCGGUAGCCGGACUGAGAGGUUGAACGGCCACAUUGGGACUGAGACACGGCCCAG